AAAUCCCAAAUCAACGUCCCAGCAAAACAACAUCAUCGUCGCUCUCUCCCUCUCCCAUGGCCGAUCGAAACCCCUAAAGCCUCCGCCGCAUCGGGGCUUAUCGCCGGCGGCGACAAAGUCCUCACCCUACUCGCGCUCACCCUACUAUCACCGUCUCGACCUCUUUAUUCCUAAUCCCUGGCCAGAUUCCUAAUUCCUCCCUAAACAAGACAAACCUAAACAGCUUUCUAUGCAAACGUAAUAAAAUCAGAGCGAAAACGAUGAAGAUGUGCUCACCUACGGAUACGCCGCUCUACCGAAAUCGAUGGGCGAGAAGUACCAAGUUUUAGAUCGGAGGCUUCGAAUCCGAUAACGAGAGGAUUCACGCUCGCAUCGUCCGCUCCUCUUCUUUACCCUCGGUAAUGUUACAGGAAUGAAGUGACUUUGAUGGAAUGGAAAAGUGGCUGCUCCAAGCUUCAAGACAACAUGUUUUCGCGCCUAGGUCCAAAGGAGGGUUUAACCAGUCCAUUGAUUUUGGUCUUGGUCAUUAGAAUUAGGAACCUGUUUUGCAGCAAAUUCCACUUAGUCAAAAUGUAAUUAUUUUGUUUAGUUUUUUUUUAAGACAAAAUGUGUAUUUGGACUUAUCUGUAACUUAUUGGAUUAAAUCUAAUAGCCAUUGUAACUUGUUAGACUUGGAAAGAAUUGAAUUAUUAAAGUGUA